rnacentral:rRNA from 1 species
CAGAGGGGGCAAGCGUUAUUCGGAAUUAUUGGGCGUAAAGGGCGCGUAGGCGGCUAUUCAAGUGGCGGGUGAAAUCCCUCGGCUUAACCGAGGAACUGCCUGCCAGACUGGAUGGCUUGAGACCGGGAGAGGUGAGUGGAAUUCCCAGUGUAGCGGUGAAAUGCGUAGAUAUUGGGAGGAACACCAGUGGCGAAGGCGGCUCACUGGACCGGUACUGACGCUGAGGCGCGAAAGCGUGGGGAGCAAACAGGAUUAGAUACCCUGGUAGUCCACGCCGUAAACGAUGAGUGCUUGGUGUAGCGGGUAUCGACCCCUGCUGUGCCGACGUCAACACAUUAAGCACUCCGCCUGGGGAGUACGGUCGCAAGACUG